rnacentral:lncRNA from 1 species
UGUUCGAACCUUUUUUGGGACAAGGUGAAUUUUGAAGUCUAGUGUCUAGACAGGAAAGUGAAAGAGGAAACAAGUGGUAUAAUCCUGUGUCUCCAAGUGGCUCAGGGGAUAAGAAGACUGACUGGGACUCCUAAGGUCAUAGGUUCAAGUCCUACCUUGCCCACUUCUAUUUUGAAGGUCUAGAGUCUACAAAGUACAGUGAUAUAUGAAAAAAAAACACAUUUCUCUUGUGUGUCCACAUGAGUCACGGGAUAAGGAGACUGACUGGUACUCCUGAGGUGGUGUGUUCCAGCCUUUUUUGGGACAAGGUGAAUUUUGAAGUCUAGUGUCAAGACAGUAAAGUGAAAGAGGAAACAAGUGGUAUACUCCUGUGUCUCCAAGUGGCUCAGGGGAUAAGAACACUGACUGGAACUCCUGAGGUCACAGGUUCGAGUCCAACCUUGCCCACUUCUUGGUGAAUUUUGAAGGUCUAGAGUCUAUAAAGUACAGUGAUAUAUGAAAAAAAACACAUUUCUCUUGUGUGUCCACAUGGCUCACGGGAUAAGGAGACUGACUGGUACUCCUGAGGUGGUGUGUUCGAGCCUUUUUUGGGACAAGGUGAAUUUUGAAGUCUAGUGUCUAGACAUGAAAUUGAAAGAGGAAACAAAUGGUAUAAUCAUGUGUGUCCAAGUGGCUCAGGGGAUGAGAACACUGACUGGAACUCGUGAGGUCACAGGUUCGAGUCCAACCUUGCCCACUUCUUGGUGAAUUUUGAAGGUCUAGAGACUAAAAAGUACAGCGAUAUGUGAAAAAAAAAACACAUUUCUCUUGUGUGUCCACAUGGCUCACGGGAUAAGGAGACUGACUGGUACUCCUGAGGUGGAGUGUUCCAACCUUUUUUGGGACAAGGUGAAUUUUGAAGUCUAGUGUCUAGACAAGAAAGUGAAAGAGGAAACAAGUGGUAUAAUCCUGUAUGUCCAAGUGGCUCAGAUGAUAAGUACACUGACUGGAACUCUUGAGGUCAUAGGUUCGAGUCCUACGUUACCUAGUUUUUGGUGAAUUUUAAAGUCUUGAGUCCACAAAGGACAGCGAUAUGUGAAAAAAAACCUGAUUGUCUUGUGUGCCAACAUGGCUCACGGGAUAAGGAGACUGGCUGGUACUCCUGAGGUGGUGUGUUCGAGCCUUUUUUGGGACAAGGUGAAUUUUGAAGUCUAGUGUCUAGACAGUAAAGUGAAAGAGGAAACAAAUGGUAUAAUCCUGUGUGUCCAAGUGGCUCAGGGGAUAAGAACACUGACUGGAACUCCUGAGGUCACAGGUUCGAGUCCAACCUUGCCCACUUCUUGGUGAAUUUUGAAGGUCUAGAGUCUAAAAAGUACAGUGAUAUAUGAAAAAAAACAUAAUUGUCUUGUGUGUCCACAUGGCUCACGGGAUAAGGAGACUGACUGGUACUCCUGAGGUGGUGUGUUUGAGCCUUUUUUGGGACAAGGUGAAUUUUGAAGUCUAGUGUCUAGACAGGAAAGUGAAAGAGGAAAGAAGUGGUAUAAUCCUGUGUCUCCAAGUGGCUCAGGGGAUAAGAAGACUGACUGGGACUCCUGAGGUCAUAGGUUCAAGUCCUACCUUGCCCACUUCUAUUUUGAAGGUCUAGAGUCUACAAAGUACAGUGAUAUAUGUAAAAAAAACAUGAUUGUCUCGUGUGUCCACAUGAGUCAGUGG